AUGGUGGGCUUCUUGUUGUACCUCGCGAGCUUGGCGGACUCGCCGGCGAGCUUCUCGAAGAUGUCGUUGAUGAAGGAGUUCAUGAUGGACAUGGCCUUGGAGGAGAUGCCGAUGUCGGGGUGGACCUGCUUCAGCACCUUGAAGAUGUAG
rnacentral:rRNA from 1 species